CAAUGGUAUGGUAUGUUUAACAGAGGUGCAUAAUGGCCAAUGGGAGAUUAGGACAAUGGUUGCAAAUGCUAGUUUGUGUACUAAUAUUGCUCAAAACAGAAGGCUUCUAUGUUGGCAUAACUUAUGUUCAGAAUGCUGUUGCAAAAGGAGCAGUUUGUUUGGAUGGGUCUCCCCCGGCUUACCAUCUUGAUAAGGGGUUUGGAGCAGGAAUUAACAAUUGGUUGGU